rnacentral:rRNA from 1 species
UACGGGGGGGGUAAGCGUUGUUCGGAAUUACCGGGCGUAAAGGGCUCGUAGGCGGCCAACUAAGUCAGACGUGAAAUCCCUCAGCUUAACUGGGGAACUGCGUCUGAUACUGGAUGGCUUGGAUUUGGGAGAGGGAUGCGGAAUUCCAGGUGUAGCGGUGAAAUGCGUAGAUAUCUGGAGGAACACCGGUGGCGAAGGCGGCAUCCUGGACCAACAUUGACGCUGAGGAGCGAAAGCCAGGGGAGCAAACGGG